rnacentral:rRNA from 1 species
AGAAUCAACGCUGGCGGCGUGCCUAAUACAUGCAAGUCGAACGCCAAAGCCCCGCAAGGGGCAAGUAGCGUGGCAAACGGGUGAGUAACGCGUGGGCGACCUGCCUUCGAGUGGGGGAUAACCUUCCGAAAGGAGGGCUAAUACCGCAUGAUAUGCCGUGUUUGGAUACACGGACAUCAAAGCUGGGGAUCGCAAGACCUGGCGCUUGAAGAGGGGCCUACGUCCGAUUAGCUAGUUGGUGGGGUAACGGCCUACCAAGGCGACGAU